AGGAUCCCGCUGACCUGGUGGCACUGCACGCCCUACCCACGGCAGUGAGGCCCGGGUCGGGCGGAGAGGUGAGGUCAGCUGAGUGACGUCAUGGUGCCCAGAGGUCACGGCUCCGCCUCCUGCUAGCAUGUGUGUUGAUGCCCACACUCUGCCCUCCCUCAAGGUGUGGGGUGAGGCGCACCUGUACUAUGGGUGAGGGCUGGAGGUCAGGAUGGCCAGGCGAGAGGGUCAUGGGU